GGCAGAUGGGGUGGGACCAGGCCCGGAGCUGGCCGCUGAUGGGCAGAGACAGCCAAUGAAUGCGGAGAUGGAGGAGAAGCCGGUGGGAGCCGCUGCUGUCCCCCAAAGCUGGUGGCUGGGACGACUCUCGGGCCCCCAGCUUGGAAAGCUUUUCCAGCUUCGCCUAGAGGCUUCCGGCCUCCUGCUUCCUCUGUGCGGAACAACUGAGAACAGCUGAACGCGCCUCAUUAGCACUCCGGACCGAUCCACCCAUUUCCUCCUGCCACCCCCAAAGGCCAGACUCUUGAGCUUCUUGCAACAACACAAAGUAGGAACAGACAGAAUGCCCCGGCUUACUCCCACCUGCUUAAGAAAAGACCCCUCCCCUUUACCCAGACUCCCCUGCCUGCCUGUGGAAGGGCAGCCCACCCUUUAGUCGCCUCUGGGAGCACCUUCCCCGCGCCUGGGAGCCUGGCUCUCAGCAGCAGUUACAGAGGCUUUAUCUCUCAGAAAGACUUCCCAGCAUAUGCAGAAUUGAAAACCUCAACAAAGCCAUCCAGCCUAAGAUAGGAUGAUCUGACCGGCCCCGCUCUGGUUACCUCAGCCUCCUUGCGGGUCGCCUGCUGUCUACACUAGUGUUCCUUUCCUCCAUCAAGUGCCCCACCGCUGCCGUAAAGCCCUGGCACUGGCUGCUUCCCUUCCCUGUGCUGUGGUUGGGAUGUGGGUGCAUUAUAGAGGUCUGACGACUGGAGACGGUGUUGAACUGGUGCCACUUUUACUGAAAGGCCUGUAGGUCAUCUGGUUGCCAAGGGCUAAGGCAAUUCUCAUGUAACCCUGAGGUGGUUCUCAGGAGAAGGCUGCUAGAAAAGAGCCUGGCUGCUGUGUCCUUCUACCUCAUCCUGUGGUCCCCUCAUGCACAUUCUUACCACAGAGAAGCCAUCUACCGUGAAGCCUUCACCAAAGCCAGCCUGAUGCUGGUGCCAUGCCCUUGAACCUUCAGAACUGCGAGCUGCAGAAAGCUCUAAAGUUACCCAGCACCGAGUAUUUCAUUAUAGUGCUAUAAAGUGAACCAAUGCCGUGUACAGCAUUAGUGGCUGGGGGUACAGAGCUGAAAAGGGGACUCCCAACAUCAAGGUUAGCCAAAGAGCAUUAAGCAAGGCUUUCAAGCAGGAGUGACGGAUUCAGAUCUGAGAUGAUGCAUGUGCGUGGAAUGGAGGCUAGAGACGCUUAGAAAGCUGUUAGAAUAGUCCUCCAGUAAGUGGUAUUUAGAUAUUCAAAAUACCUCCCUGGGUAGUGGUGACACAUACCUUUAACCCCAGCACUUCGGAGGCAGGCAGGGGCAGACAGAUCUCUAUGAGUUUGAGGCCAGACUGGUCUACAAAGCGAGUUCCAGGACAGCCAGGACUGUUCACAGAGAAACUCUGUCUCAAAAAACCAAAAAGAAAAAAACAAACCAAAAAAAAAAAAAAAAAACCCUCAGGAUUACAAAUUAAGGACUCCCCUUCCAAAAUGUCACCUUGUGUCCUUCAGAAAGGACAAACAUUAUCCUCACAUGACAAAACACUUCUCUGAAAUCUGUGUGUGCCUUGUCACAAAACUGAUGUAGUAGUAGUUAUUAUCCUGGCAUCUAGAAUCACCCAGGAAACAGGCCUCUGGGCAUGCCUUGUGGGGGAGUAUCCUAACUGAGCUAAUCGAAGUGAAAAGAUCUGACCACUGUGGGUGGCAACAUUCCCUGGGCUGGGCCCUACCAACCUACACUAUAUAAAAAGGACGUGAGUUGAAUAAAAUCAUUCUGUUUCUUGACUGUGGGUGGAGUGUGACCAGCUGCCUCAAACUCCUGCCUAUGUCCCUUCUCCACGAUAGAUUCAGUGAGCCCAAAUGAACCUUUAAGAUGCUAUUAGCAGGAACCUGAGCAACAGGAAAAUAGUUAGGACAACUAGGGAUCUUAGUUAAAGGCCCAAAACUUGAGAGGUGGGGAGGCUGCCGAGGAGCUGGGAUCCCUGCAUGGAGACCAUCUAUCACUUGAUAGCCAGGCCUUGGGUCCUGAGAAGUGGCCAGUUCCUCACACCUGCCCCUCCAGAAUGUGAAAAUGUUCAGCGUUGGAAGGGACCUUCAGCUGCCCGUUCCCCGAUAUCUCAGCAGGAAACAGGACUCUGUUCUAAUAGGUCAACUGAAGACUCUCUAAUGAACUGUUUAUAGAGAGCUGCACAGGAUUAAAGAUGCCAAGGAGGAUGCUGGGAAAGCUGGAGACUGCAGACUGCUGAAACCACCAAGGCCCACAGGAGCGUGGCUGGACCUAGAGAAGGCUGGGGACGGGCAGGAGAGCUGUGUGCAGGAGCUUAAGCAAGCAGAGGGGCAAAGAGUAUUCCCAUCCCCUCCUUCCCUCCAGCCUCCUGCCAGUGCCUUCCAUUGGCCAGAGCACACUGGAGCCAACCAGCAGGGAGCCUCAUGACCGUUGUACAAGGUCAGCUUUCUGAGGCACGGGACAGGGGAAAGGAGGGGAGAUCUCAGCCUGCAAAAGACAGGAAGCAACGGACUGUAGGAUCUGUGUCCACCCUGCCGUUUUUUUUCUAAAGCAAUGUCAGAGCGGAGGCACCUUGGCUCUUGUGGGGCAAGUCAGUAAAAGGCCCUUGGUCCCUCUCCUUGUGGUCAAGUUUCAUAGAAAACGGGUCUGGCCCAGAACCACCGCUGUAGAGGGAGGCGGCAGAACAAGGGCAGUGAAGGGCAGCUCCCUAGAAGAUGGCGGCCCCCUAGAGGAUGACGGCCCCCCCAGAGGAUGACAGCCCCCUAGAGGAUGGCGGCCCCCCAAGAGGAUGGCGCCCCCCCCCCCAGAGGAUGGCGGUCCCUCCCCCAAGAGGAUGGUAUCCAAGAGCUGCAUCAAGAAGGUGAUGGGUGCUUCUUCCCUGUCUCUUCAUGGUCUACCUGAUACCUGCUUCUGCCCCAUUUCCCUAGGCAUGGAGACAAGAACACAGUCCUGAGGCUGGCAGGGACAGAAGGAGGAGACUCUGUCUGCCUGGUAGCCAGCCCCCACUCAUCGAUUCCCUGGGGCUGCUUACUGAUCCGGCCCAAGGUGGUUUAACUGAAGUCCUUACAAUACAUGGUGCAGAAAAGCAACACCCUUAGUCUGUUAGGAGCCACAAGGACACAGAGCUGGGAAACCCUGUGAGAGCGAGCAAGAGCAGUCGGCCAGCAGCUGUUGGAAAGCGGCUGAGACCAAGAAGCCAUAGAGUCCGGGCUUCAGUCCAGUCUCUGCCUCUCUGAGCUGUUCUGCCCUUGUCAAGGCCUGGGAAGAGCCGAGACCAUGCCUGCAUCUCCUGGCCCGCCCCAGAGCGUCCCACUCCAUUCUCAUUGCAGCCUCCCAGGCACUUGCUCCUCCAGGCCACACGGCGACUCACACUCCAUCCAAGCCGCUCUCUCCUCCUGCAAUGCCCUCCAUUCACUGUUCCUUGGCCCCUUUGAGCCUCCUCCUUUGGGAAGACUUCCCUGGCCCAGCCUCCCUCCCAUAAGCGUCCCAUCAUCGUUGGCCACCUGGUUCCCUUCUCUCUCAUGCCGGACAGUCUCCCUUUCUCCCCUGGCUUAGCUUCUCUUGUAGAUACAAGGCAGGAACUGCAUUUUUCUCACCUUGGCUUGCCUAACAGGCCUCACCGGGAUCAGGUUAUGAGAGGAAGCAGCAGGUGGAGAGAGGAGGACCUAGGACCCAGAGAUGGGCACAGCCAGGCACAGCAGUCCCUGAUAUCAGCUCCUGUGUGGCCCUGAGCUCCCUCCCAGCUAAUUAGGAUGGAGCAUCCGUCAUCCGCUUAUAUCUUUAGCAAGGGACACAGCCUUCCCUGUGCCUGGGCCCAGCUGGCUCUCUGCUCAGACUCAUAAACUUGUAACUGACUCAGUAGCAGAGGACACAGGAGCCGUGCUGUGAAAUCAUAAAAUGAGCAUGAGAAGGAAUCUUAUCAUGUGCAGAGAGUGAGGUCCCCAUGAUCCCAGUCCAAGACAUGGGAGUCUGGGUAGCUUCCUCAGCCCCGGGCACGAGAGACGCUAUGCGUAGGUACUCGGGGUCACAGCACCAGCUGCCAGCCAUCUCACGGAAAGAGAGGCCCACCUUGGGCACCCAGUCAGUGCAGCCUUCAGACUCCAGACCCUGGCACAACCACACAGCAAAGAACCUCCCAGCUAAGUUCAGCUAACCCAUGAAACCGUACGGGGUAUUUUACACUCCGAGAAACUUCCUGCAUCUAGAUGGCACUUUACAGGUGAGCAGCUGUCACCCCAACCGUCACGUGACUUACUGAGAGCCUCGAGGUGGUCAGAGGCAGAAUCCAUCACCCCAGCUGCUGUCACCUUACCCCACCACCAGAAAAGGUAGAGACGUGAGCUCUCCAGAGCAGAAGAGGAAAAGAAGGAAAGAUGAAUUUUGUCGAAAACAUCCCAGAUGGAUCCCAUGUAUGAAGGAAAUUGUUCUCUGUGUGUGGUUUUUGUUUUCAGUCUUCCAAAUAGUGUCUUGGAGUUUA